rnacentral:rRNA from 1 species
AUUGAACGCUGGCGGCAGGCCUAACACAUGCAAGUCGAGCGCGAAAGUUCUUCGGAAUGAGUAAAGCGGCGGACGGGUGAGUAAUACAUGGGAAUCUGCCUGGUAGUGGGGGACAACGUUUCGAAAGGAACGCUAAUACCGCAUACGCCCUACGGGGAAAGGGGGGAGGUCGGCAAGACCUCUCGCUAUCAGAUGAGCCC